UACAGAGGGUGCAAGCGUUGUUCGGAAUCAUUGGGCGUAAAGGGCGUGUAGGCGGUUUUGUUAAGUCAUGUGUGAAAUCCCUCGGCUCAACCGGGGAACGACGCAUGAAACUGGCAAGCUAGAGUACCAAAGAGGGCGGUGGAAUUCCCGGUGUAGCGGUGGAAAUGCGUAGAUAUCGGGAGGAACACCUGUGGCGAAGGCGGCCGCCUGGUUGGAUACUGACGCUGAGACGGCGAAAAGCGUGGGGGAGCAAACAGGGAUUAAGAA
rnacentral:rRNA from 1 species